rnacentral:rRNA from 1 species
UGGCGAACGGGUGAGUAACACGUGGGUGAUCUGCCUUGCACUCUGGGAUAAGCUUGGGAAACUGGGUCUAAUACCGGAUAGGACGAUGGUUUGGAUGCCAUUGUGGAAAGUUUUUCGGUGUGGGAUGAGCUCGCGGCCUAUCAGCUUGUUGGUGGGGUAAUGGCCUACCAAGGCGUCGACGGGUAGCCGGCCUGAGAGGGUGUACGGCCACAUUGGGACUGAGAUACGGCCCAG